CUCGAUGCUACCGAGGUCGACCUCGAGGGAUGCAAGUGCAAGGACAUCUUUACUCGCGGACAUGCUGACAAUGAGCUUCAGGACAAGAAGGCGGAGAACAGAGGCGUAAACAAACCUCCCACCAGACAAGACGAAAUAGGCGAAGGCACGCUUGCUAGGGUCACCAGGUGGGUAACGCUCAUGGUUGUGGUCAUCGUACACAAUCUUCGAGUUAGGUGUCUUGACAGCCUCAACAGUGGCAGGUUCAGAACCAAAACCAACCUCGUUUCCUUGAGUAAGGACUUGAGAAGAAAAACCUGAUAAUAGCAUGAAAAAACAUUAAUAUGUUCACAUCAAAGCAAACUUUUUUUCAAUCACCACAAUCAAUAUGUGACCUUUAACGAGUGCAUGCCGUAUAAGAAUAAUGCAGGAACAUGAGAGACUAAUUGAAACACAUACUAUACAACAACAUCAAAUUCAUUACCCUAAUCAACUGAAAAUCAAAAAUUACAAAUUCAAUAAGCAUAUGAAAGAAACGCUUAAAACUCCAAAGCUAAAAUCGCAAAAAAUAGCUCUUUUGGUGAACAAAAAGUUCCUCAGCAUGCCCUAUUAAACUGCUAUAAAAUACCCCAAACCAAGUAUGCAGCUAGAACAUCCAUCUCCGUAAUAAUGAAGAAAACACAAAGACCAAAACUUUAGAGACCAAUAACCAAUCACAUUAUGAAUAACCCUCAGCUAAAUAUUGUAGAAAAGAAGACCUAAAGAUCCAUCGAAACAAACACUCUACAACAAUACCAAAUUCAGUGAAAACUAAACUACUCUAGAACAUCCAUCUCCCUAAUAAUGAAGAAACAAAAGGAUACACAAAGAUCAAAACUUUAUAGAGUCCAAGAAGCCAAUCAGCCUAUCGUGAAGCUUCUCUCAUCAAAGGAAGGAUAAUCUCAGAACUAAUCAAUCAACUCAAAAUGUUUAUUUCUUGCUGCACGAAAGAAGCAAUCAUACAAGGCAAAGCUAUUCCGGUAAGGAGUAGAAUGAAAGGAAAUGGUACAUCAAUCAAGCUCUAGUACACGGUCCUAGAUUCAUGGAAACCAAACACAACACGUAGAUACGAUAGUAAGAAUCUCAAUCAUUACGGGACUCAAUACAAACAAAACAAACAAAAAAAACGAAUUUUUACAUCAUUCAAUCAAUCAAUCAACACCUGAAAUGAAAAUUUAAAUCAAUCCAGAUGAAGAGAGAGGCGUGUAGAUCUGCAGACCUCUUAUGAGAUUCCUGUGGUAAGAAUCGAAAGGUGAAAGAUUGGUAGAGGGGACGGAUCUGGGAGGUGAAGAGGAGGAGCCGCCGCCAUCGGAGAGGGUAUGGUCUCGGGAAAGGGCGAAGGAGGUCGCGGUGGAAGAUCUCUGCGAAAGAGAAAAGAGCCUCCUUCCUGCUACUCGCAGCAUCUCUGCUCAAUGGGGAAUCUAGGGUUUCGAGAACAGAGUAGUCCUGAGGUUAGGGACGGCCAAUGCAACAGAGCGAAGAGUCUUCCCGUAAAAUUAGUCUUCUAGGAAAGAAAAGGUCAAAGCUUUUUAAUAUUUAUUCAUCCUGAAUAAAAUAUGUUUUUUCAGUUUGAUCUUUGAUGAGAGAUUUUGUUGUUUUACAAAUAUAAUUGUUGUUUAAUUAUAUUUUCGAUACAUUUAAAAAAAAAAAAUUCUUUAGGAUAGUCAAUUAGUCAUUUUUAUGUUUCUGUCACAAAUUAAGAAAAAAAUGACCAAUUUUUUUUUAUUAAAAGGUAAAAAUAUAUUUAUAUCCUAAGACUAAUUAAUUUAGACUUAAAGUUUAGAACUAAAGGAUUGGUUUUGAGCAUAGUGUUUUAAAUUUUAAAAAGUAAAACAGAAAUAUUAAAAAUUUUAAAAUAAAAAUGAAUUAUUUUGGUCAUUUUUUUCUUUGAACGUUAUUUUUGUGACAAAAACUUUAAAUGACUAUUUGAGAGAAUUGAAUUUUUUUAACAUUGACUUGUUUUUAUUAUAAAUUAUAAAAAAAAAUUAUUACAUUUGCAUUUUAUAAGAAUUUUUAUUUACAAAGUACACCAUAAUAAAAAAAAUACCCUAAUAAAAAUUGAUGUCAUUUUUUUCAUUUAAUCUAAUUUGACUAAACUUUUUGAUGUAUAAGUAUUAAUGAAUUAUUAUUUAACUACUAGAUAAAUUAUGUUUAACCUGACAAAAAUAUAUAUAUACUGUACACACAUAUUCAUCCAUAUCAAUUUGAGAACAAUGGUGUAUUUUAAAAAUCAAACCCAAACUUUAUUAAGAAGAGGAUCUUGUCUGCAAUGACAAUAACUAAUGAAUAAAAUGUAUUUGGCUUGCCAAAUUAAAAAAAAAAAUCCAAUUAAGCUAUUCAAAAUACAAAACUGUUUUCAAACAAUAAACACAUACAUCGUUUCAUUCACCAGAUGGGACAGAUGCUAAGUCAUACAAUGACAAGUUUGUAUUAUUCAGUAAAACCAAGCACAAUCGUUUACUUGCUGAGAAGACCAAAGUGUGAGGAAAGCGUACUUGCACUUAGCCAGAAAGUAUAUAUAAAAGAAAAACAAAAAAACAAAUGAGGAUCUUUGAGACACAAACACUGUCUGACGUGCGUUUAUUCAUCAACCAAUGAGUAACUUGUUCUCUUCCAAGAAGCUGUAAGUUGGUACUUCCAAGUUGUAAGGUGCAGGACCUUUCCUGAUCCUUCCAGAGAUGUCGUAAUGCGAACCGUGACACGGGCAAAACCAGCCACCAUAGUCACCAGCAGUGGCAGGUUCAGAACCAAAACCAACCUCGUUUCCUUGAGUAAGGACUUGAGAAGAAAAACCUGAUAAUAGCAUGAAAAAACAUUAAUAUGUUCACAUCAAAGCAAACUUUUUUUCAAUCACCACAAUCAAUAUGUGACCUUUAACGAGUGCAUGCCGUAUAAGAAUAAUGCAGGAACAUGAGAGACUAAUUGAAACACAUACUAUACAACAACAUCAAAUUCAUUACCCUAAUCAACUGAAAAUCAAAAAUUACAAAUUCAAUAAGCAUAUGAAAGAAACGCUUAAAACUCCAAAGCUAAAAUCGCAAAAAAUAGCUCUUUUGGUGAACAAAAAGUUCCUCAGCAUGCCCUAUUAAACUGCUAUAAAAUACCCCAAACCAAGUAUGCAGCUAGAACAUCCAUCUCCGUAAUAAUGAAGAAAACACAAAGACCAAAACUUUAGAGACCAAUAACCAAUCACAUUAUGAAUAACCCUCAGCUAAAUAUUGUAGAAAAGAAGACCUAAAGAUCCAUCGAAACAAACACUCUACAACAAUACCAAAUUCAGUGAAAACUAAACUACUCUAGAACAUCCAUCUCCCUAAUAAUGAAGAAACAAAAGGAUACACAAAGAUCAAAACUUUAUAGAGUCCAAGAAGCCAAUCAGCCUAUCGUGAAGCUUCUCUCAUCAAAGGAAGGAUAAUCUCAGAACUAAUCAAUCAACUCAAAAUGUUUAUUUCUUGCUGCACGAAAGAAGCAAUCAUACAAGGCAAAGCUAUUCCGGUAAGGAGUAGAAUGAAAGGAAAUGGUACAUCAAUCAAGCUCUAGUACACGGUCCUAGAUUCAUGGAAACCAAACACAACACGUAGAUACGAUAGUAAGAAUCUCAAUCAUUACGGGACUCAAUACAAACAAAACAAACAAAAAAAACGAAUUUUUACAUCAUUCAAUCAAUCAAUCAACACCUGAAAUGAAAAUUUAAAUCAAUCCAGAUGAAGAGAGAGGCGUGUAGAUCUGCAGACCUCUUAUGAGAUUCCUGUGGUAAGAAUCGAAAGGUGAAAGAUUGGUAGAGGGGACGGAUCUGGGAGGUGAAGAGGAGGAGCCGCCGCCAUCGGAGAGGGUAUGGUCUCGGGAAAGGGCGAAGGAGGUCGCGGUGGAAGAUCUCUGCGAAAGAGAAAAGAGCCUCCUUCCUGCUACUCGCAGCAUCUCUGCUCAAUGGGGAAUCUAGGGUUUCGAGAACAGAGUAGUCCUGAGGUUAGGGACGGCCAAUGCAACAGAGCGAAGAGUCUUCCCGUAAAAUUAGUCUUCUAGGAAAGAAAAGGUCAAAGCUUUUUAAUAUUUAUUCAUCCUGAAUAAAAUAUGUUUUUUCAGUUUGAUCUUUGAUGAGAGAUUUUGUUGUUUUACAAAUAUAAUUGUUGUUUAAUUAUAUUUUCGAUACAUUUAAAAAAAAAAAAUUCUUUAGGAUAGUCAAUUAGUCAUUUUUAUGUUUCUGUCACAAAUUAAGAAAAAAAUGACCAAUUUUUUUUUAUUAAAAGGUAAAAAUAUAUUUAUAUCCUAAGACUAAUUAAUUUAGACUUAAAGUUUAGAACUAAAGGAUUGGUUUUGAGCAUAGUGUUUUAAAUUUUAAAAAGUAAAACAGAAAUAUUAAAAAUUUUAAAAUAAAAAUGAAUUAUUUUGGUCAUUUUUUUCUUUGAACGUUAUUUUUGUGACAAAAACUUUAAAUGACUAUUUGAGAGAAUUGAAUUUUUUUAACAUUGACUUGUUUUUAUUAUAAAUUAUAAAAAAAAAUUAUUACAUUUGCAUUUUAUAAGAAUUUUUAUUUACAAAGUACACCAUAAUAAAAAAAAUACCCUAAUAAAAAUUGAUGUCAUUUUUUUCAUUUAAUCUAAUUUGACUAAACUUUUUGAUGUAUAAGUAUUAAUGAAUUAUUAUUUAACUACUAGAUAAAUUAUGUUUAACCUGACAAAAAUAUAUAUAUACUGUACACACAUAUUCAUCCAUAUCAAUUUGAGAACAAUGGUGUAUUUUAAAAAUCAAACCCAAACUUUAUUAAGAAGAGGAUCUUGUCUGCAAUGACAAUAACUAAUGAAUAAAAUGUAUUUGGCUUGCCAAAUUAAAAAAAAAAAUCCAAUUAAGCUAUUCAAAAUACAAAACUGUUUUCAAACAAUAAACACAUACAUCGUUUCAUUCACCAGAUGGGACAGAUGCUAAGUCAUACAAUGACAAGUUUGUAUUAUUCAGUAAAACCAAGCACAAUCGUUUACUUGCUGAGAAGACCAAAGUGUGAGGAAAGCGUACUUGCACUUAGCCAGAAAGUAUAUAUAAAAGAAAAACAAAAAAACAAAUGAGGAUCUUUGAGACACAAACACUGUCUGACGUGCGUUUAUUCAUCAACCAAUGAGUAACUUGUUCUCUUCCAAGAAGCUGUAAGUUGGUACUUCCAAGUUGUAAGGUGCAGGACCUUUCCUGAUCCUUCCAGAGAUGUCGUAAUGCGAACCGUGACACGGGCAAAACCAGCCACCAUAGUCACCAGCAUUAGGCAAAGGGAUGCACCCCAAAUGAGUGCAGACCCCAACCACCACCAACCACUCUGGAUUCUUCACCCUCACCGAGUCCUCUUGCGGGUCUCUCAGAGAUCCAAGAUCCACACUGUUAGCCAGCUUGAUGUCAUCUUCCGUUCUACGUCUAAUAAAGACAGGCUUUCCACGCCACUUCACUGUCACAGUUGUUCCCGGUUCGAUGCUACCGAGGUCUACCUCGAGGGAAGCAAGGGCAAGGACAUCUUUACUCGCGGACAUGCUGACAAUGAGCUUCAGGACAAGAAGGCGGAGAACAGAGGCGUAGACAAACCUCCCACCGGACAAGACGAAAUAGGCGAAGGCACGCUUGCUAGGGUCACCAGGUGGGUAACGCUCAUGGUUGUGGUCAUCGUACACAAUCUUCGAGUUAGGUGUCUUGACAGCCUCAACGGUGGCUGGGACUUCAGAAGCAAAACCUAUCUCGUUUCCUUGAGUAAUGACUUGAGAAGAGAAACCU
rnacentral:lncRNA from 1 species